rnacentral:tRNA from 1 species
AUUUAAAUAGCUUAAUAAAAAGUACAAUAUUGAAAAUAUUGAGAUAAUUAAAAAUUUUUAAGUA